rnacentral:lncRNA from 1 species
AUGCUUGACUUGACUGAUCAGAAGAGUAUAACUCCGUGCCCGAUAAUCAGUCUCUCAUAAAUUUUCUUCCUUGGAGAACUCGGCAUGAAACUGGUAUGAUUUGAUAAGGAUACACUGUGUCUGGCUGAAGAUGUUAAACUUAGCGCUUGUUGGGAGGCAACCCAAUUUUCAUAGGUUAUUUUUGCAUAUUUUCUUGUCGUAUUUUUUUCAGGAAUCCUCAUAUUACUGAUGCAACUAAGGUACAAUGCUUCUAUCCUCCAUAUGCAUCAUAUUUUCGUCUAAAAUAAAAUAACAAAAAAAUUUUUUAUUAUAAUAUAAUAUAUUUUUUUUUUAAAAAAAAACAUUGAGGACAAUGUCUGAUCUAGGUUGGAGGGUACAUGAUUCGAAUUUUUGAAGAAAUUUUUCCUAUUUCAUAUUUUUAAAUAAGUAUUUCAUCUCAAAAAAAAACUAAUUUCUAUGCUUUAGUGCUGAAAUAAUAAACACACAAAGUAUAUAAAAUCUAAAAAGCCCAAUGACUAGUCAGAAGUAAGUCAAUUUGAGUUCUUUUUAUUAAAAGUUCUUUUAGUGAGUUGUAAGAUAAUUUUUACUUUGGAACUUCACAACACACAUGGCCUACACUUCUAAGGGUUAGGUUCAACAUUAUGUUGUUAAGCCUAGUAGCAACCUUGAAUCCUGAUGAAUCAUUCCUAUCUAAUUCACUAUUAUCCCAUAUUUA